AUACUCUGGCGCUUGCUUGGUCAAUAUGUAUACUAAAAUUGGAACAGCACAGAGAAGAUUAACACAGCUAAAGUGCAAUGAGGGUUCACAUGUUCGUGAGUCAUUCCCUAUUUGU
ensembl:snRNA U6 U6 spliceosomal RNA